AAGGUUAACUGCGUCCAAGCAUUUGUCUUGCCCGGCACGGGAGUGAUCUAGACCCCUAGCCAACAAGGGUGUGUGUGUGUGUUUGUGUGUAGGGUGUUCGGCUCUGCACCCUCCUACUUUUUUCCUUGGCCCUGUAGACUCUGCGCCCUAAGUGGCUGAGCCAAGAAGGGAAGGCAACUGACUGGGGAAUGAGUGCAGUGUUGGUGUGAAAAGCCCUUCAGCAAAUGUACUUUUCCUUGGUUUAUGCGAAUGGACUGCAGAAUGUAAGCUCUUUGAGAGCAGCCAAGGAUAGGAUUGAGUGAAGAUUUGGCUUAGCACCUUGUUUAUGAUUGCCAUUUCUGAAUCCAUCUUGGCAUCAGAGGAUGGUUGCAGAUUCAGUCAUCAGAGGAUUCAAUCAACAAACAUUUAUUAAGCAAGUAGACACUUAUCAGACACUGACCGAAGCUCUGUAGCUAAAAAUUCAAUGAAUGAACCGAUUUCUACCCAAGAGGAGCUUAUAUUCACAUCAGGAGGGGAGACAAUAAGUACACAGGAAACAAAACAACCAAAGAAACCAACAAUUGGCUUUCCCACUCUCGGGCUGACAUGGAUCAGAACUUUCUGGUGUUGGACUGGUGACCCUUCCAGAUUAUUCAGCUUUUUGUGCAUGUACUGAAGCACAGCCCUGAAUCCUGAGCGUCUGUUACUUCCUCUUCUUUUUUUUAAUUCUAAAAAAUAUUUUAUUGUCAUGCAUAACACGAUUUCAUAUUGGUCAUUGUUGUAACAACAAACUCAUAUAUAACCAAAAUCUCAAAAUAAAACCAUAAAUGCACUGAUGUGUAAGAUGACU
rnacentral:lncRNA from 1 species